rfam:Sporomusa sphaeroides DSM 2875 SPSPH_contig000005, whole genome shotgun sequence.
UAGGCAGACAGCAAAGUGUCUGAUUUGCAAACAGGUCUUGAAAAGACUGUAACUUACCUGUUACCGAUGCUGGCAGGCGCCAACAUCAUCUAUGGUUCAG